AGAAUUUGCAUUAGCAUAUCAAUCACCUCCAAUAACACUCUUGGCCACAGCUUACUUCCACCUUCAGCAUUGCAGCCUAGGUCAUGCUGUGACCUGCACAAUUGUUAAAAGGAUAGCAAGUAGGUGAGAUAAAAGAGACCAGAGUUUAGGAACACCAAAUGCAGGCACAGGACAGAAAGAGAAGCUGGUGAUCAUCAGACAUGAUCAGAUAAAUACAAAUAGCAAGCUCUGCGGGUACAGAAUCCAUUGAAGGGUAUCAUGAAGAUUGAACAAAUGCACUGCUGUGAUGAGAAUGCAUACUGGUGCUGCAGGUGGGAGCACAGUGCUCAGAUAAGGAACGAACUGUGGUGGCCUCAGUCCUACGAUGAGUUCUCGAAGCUUAUCACUGAAGAAAUAGAGAACAGCUUAUCAUUUUCUCUGUACAUUAUUCCUCAAAGAUAAAUAACAGUAAACAAAUUAGGAAAGUCAUUUUAAUUUUGGAAUGAUAUUUGAAAGGUGCCCCUCAACAUUUUGAGAUAAUAAGCAGGGUGCUUUUCUUUGAUCCAGACUGUACUCACAGAACAGGAAAUGAGGAAUUAUUUGGUCAGAAAUUAGAUGGUGUUGUUUUCUGUCUUUAACCAUUCUGUUACCACAGUCAAAUGUUACACUCAAACCUGGUGUAGUAAAAUUAAACUUCAGUAGAUGCUUUUGAAAAUCCAAAUAUACAACUGGCUCCUUAUUUCCUGCCAAUUCCAUCCUUCUAGAACACAAAUCAAAUUGCUAACCAAAACUACCUAAUCAUGUUAUGCUUUUCAAGGUCCCCUUUUAUAAUUUUCUUAAUUAGGUAUUUGGGACUUGCCUGUAGACUGAUGUUUGGAUACUAGUCUUUAAUCCUGUGCUUCUUUAAUUUUCCCUUUCUUCAAUAGCAAUGUUACAUUUGCUGUUUUCCAAGAAUCUAGGAAAUUAUGGAACAUAGCACCAAAUGCAUGCACAGCCAGACAAGCAAGCAGAUGAACUCCAAACUUAGAUUAAUACAUGACACAAGGAUAUUUAAACCUAUUACCAAAACUGGG